AGUGGCAGACGGGUGAGUAACAUGUAGGUAUCUACCCUAUGGCCUGGAAUAACACGAGGAAACUUGUGCUAAUACCGGAUAAGUCUUUACAGAGAAAGCUUUAUGCACCAUUGGAUGAGCCUGCACUUGAUUAGUUUGUUGGUAGGGUAACGGCCUACCAAGACUUUGAUCAAUAGCUGAUUUGAGAGGAUGAUCAGCCACAUUGGGACUGAGACACGGCCCAAACUCCUACGGGAGGCAGCAGUGGGGAAUCUUGCACAAUGGAGGAAACUCUGAUGCAGCGAUGCCGCGUGAGUGAAGAAGGCCCUUGGGUUGUAAAGCUCUUUCGUCGGGGAAGAAAAUGACUGUACCCGAAUAAGAAGGUCCGGCUAACUUCGUGCCAGCAGCCGCGGUAAUACGAAGGGACCUAGCGUAGUUCGGAAUUACUGGGCUUAAAGAGUUCGUAGGUGGUUGAAAAAGUUGGUGGUGAAAUCCCAGAGCUUAACUCUGGAACUGCCAUCAAAACUUUUCAGCUAGAGUAUGAUAGAGGAAAGCAGAAUUUCUAGUGUAGAGGUGAAAUUCGUAGAUACUAGAAAGAAUACCAAUUGCGAAGGCAGCUUUCUGGAUCAUUACUGACACUGAGGAACGAAAGCAUGGGUAGCGAAGAGGAUUAGAUACCCUCGUAGUCCAUGCCGUAAACGAUGUGUGUUAGACGUUGGAAAUUUAUUUUCAGUGUCGCAGUGAAAGCGAUAAACACACCGCCCGGGGAGUAC
rnacentral:rRNA from 1 species